GUUGUCGUUUGUUUAUGUGUUACAUAUUUGUUUUUCGUUCAUUUUUUUUUUUACAUAAAUAAGGCCGUUAGUUUUUCUCGUUUGAAUUGUUUUACAUUGUCUUAUCGGGGCCUUUUAUAGCUGACUAUGCGGUAUGGGCUAUGCUCAUUGUUCAAGGCCGUACGGUGACCUAUAGUUGUUAAUGUUUGUGUCAUUUUGGUCUUUUGUGGAUAGUUGUCUCAUUGAUAAUCAUACCACAUUUUCUUUUUUAUAUAGAUAGUUAUCAAUUUCAAAACUUUGAUUAGAUUCUAAAUACAAUAAAUGCGAACUGGAAAGCAAAAUCCGUAUAUCACCA
rnacentral:lncRNA from 1 species